GCGCUCGUAGUGUAAUGGAUAUCACAUAGGAUUCCGGUUCCUAUAAUUGGGGUUCGAUUCCCCACGAGCGCA
rnacentral:tRNA from 1 species